rnacentral:rRNA from 1 species
GACGAACGCUGGCGGCGUGCCUAAUACAUGCAAGUCGAACGCAGUGGGGACGGGUGAGUAACACGUGGGUAACCUCCCAUCAGAGGGGAUAAAACUUGGAAACAGGUGCUAAACCGAUACUGAUGGAUGGACCCGCGGUGCAUUAGCUAGUUGGUGGGGUAACGGCUCACCAAGGCGACGAUGCAUAGCUGGUCUGAGAGGUGGACCAGCCACACUGGGACUGAGACACGGCCCAGACUCCUACGGGAGGCAGCAGUGGGGAAUCUUGCGCAAUGGACGAAAGCCUGACGCAGCAAUGCCGCGUGAGUGAAGAAGGCUUUCGGGUUGUAAAGUUCUGUCGUUAGAGAGGCGUUAUCUACAGAGAAAGCAACGGCUAACUCCGUGCCAGCAGCCGCGGUAAUUC